UGGAUCGAUGAUGACUUCCAUAUAUACAUUCCUUGGAAAGCUGAACAAAAUGAGUGAAAACUCUAUACCGUCAUCCUCGUCGAACUGAGGUCCAGCACAUUACUCCAACAGGGGCUAGACAGAGAAGGCCAACAUCCGUUUGUUGACAUGGGUUAUACCAAGGCGUCUGUUCAGGCUUAGAAUGUGGUCUCUUAUGGGUGAUGGGGGUCACAGGAGAGUGGUGGCUCCCACGUAUAGGAAAUUUCUUGUUUGAAGGACUGUCAGUGAGGGUGGGUAACACAUGCAUUGUCUGCAGGACUAGGUGAAUGUCCAUGUGGCCUAGCAAGAGUUCGCUGGUAGCCCGCCUCUGGUUGCCAAUUUGUUCUUGAGUUCUUGUUCUGGGUUCUCAGGUUCCACAGAGGAAAACAGAUCUGUGUGGUUGAGAGGUGGGUACAAGGCCGCAUCUUUGUCAUUUGUUGGCUAACUUUGUCCUUGGUUGAGGACAUUAGAGUUUUGGUCACCAGGCAUAGUCUAUGUGCCUUUGUGCCCGUGUUGUAUCCCAUGUGUUUUGAGGACAUGUAUUUUGCACGUAAGGGUGAGCUCCUGCUCAUUGCUUCUGAUACCCAAGGAGUCCCUGGCUUAUCCUAAACCCAAUAUAGGUUAAAGCCUUUCUCAUUAGGGGCCCAGGGUCCCAAGGCUUUUGUGAGUAUCAUUGUAGGUAUUGAAGCAACGAUGUUGAGAAGGAUGCUGAACAUGCUCUUUAGUGGGAUGAUGUACUCUGAAGGCUCCUGACCCCCAGACGAGCAUCCUUGUGUCCAUGCACUUCUGUGUUUAUGAACAGGUGAGGCCAGAGACAGGCAGACAGCAGAUGUAUUGCAGGGAGCUGGAUGACAUGGCCCUUGGAACCUGUGCACAUGCCUGCCUUUCUGAUGCACGUCCAUGUUUUCUCUGCACCUCCCCGGUGGUGUUGGUAUAAAAAGCAGGCUUACAUCAGCAAGGGAUGAUUGUCAUCUCAUGCGAUCCUGGGAGAUGGCAGAAGUCCCGGGACACAUGGAGUGUGGGCUCUUUCGGAGGCUGUUGGAUCCCUCCUGAAUGUAAGUGAUUCCUUCUUAAAGAAUGCUGAUUUUCCUCAUUUGCAGGGGCAAGGACUGGAUCGAUGACGACUUCCAUAUGUACUUUCCUUGGAAAGCUGAACAAAAUGAGUGAAAACUCUAUACCGUCAUCCUCGU
rnacentral:lncRNA from 1 species